AGGAAUUAGACAUGCCACAAAGAACUCGCCAUGAGAAAGAUGUCUUGGGUAUAGUGAACACGCUUCAGAAUAUGAUAUUAUCCUUUUGAAACGGAUAAUGAUAUAACAGAAAUGAUUCACUUGUCAAGUGGUUUAGUUCACAAGAAGUAAAGAAUGACUUACUAACAACGAAACAACGAGGAGAAGAAUGCGUGACUGCUUUUCUAAGAGACAGAUUACUAGUUCGAAAGCCUGAUAUUUUUUUCAGUAACGAUUCCCAAGCCAGUUAGUUAAGCAAAAGGUGUUGAAGCCACCCUUAAGAAUGACCGUAACCUAUUCGCUCGAAUGCUCUUGCUGGCACAAAGUAGAAAUGUUGACAUGAAGGAAGUUCUAACUUAUUCCUUGGGUCCAUUUCCUUUAUCUCUUUCAACCGGGAUGGGCACUUUGCACAAAACCCAGAAAAGCAAGUUGAUGACAUCAAUUGAGUCAAGUGCUCAAGAUCACAUAGUUGACAAUGUUCCGGCUGGAGUACAUACGCAUCAUUUAUGUUUAGCGGUAUUACAAGUAUUGAAGGUGCACCUCUCACGAUUCGAGAAAUAGCGGCAUUAUCUUGUGAUCAUGCAAAUCACAUGCAAAUCAUGUGUUUCAAUCAUAUGGAAACAUUUUGAUAAAGAGCCCCGAUACAGUCGUCUUCAUUAUUAUGCUUUACUUUUGCCAUAUACUCCAAUGCGAAUUGUUCUUUGAGACCGGUAUGAAUGAGAAAACUCGUAUCAUAAAUGUACGAUGUGUUCAGCAGCAGAUUGGUGUGAAAGAAGGCAAAGCGUUAGUUGGAUUUCAUGCAUAUGCCGGGGGUGUGAUUCCACUAGCUCGUUUUAUGGUCGAAGUAAAAUAUCAACCUGGAAAUUGGUUUCCAAUGACGAAACAGCUCUUGAUACACUUGCUCGCCUAGGAAAUGAUUUUACAGUAGAUGAUCGCAUCCAGAAAAGCAUCGAGUCAUUGACAUGUAUGCUAUAUGGGGCUAAGGAGACCAAAUCUGUCAACGAAGCAAGGUAUAAUUCAUUCAGAAUGGGCAAAUUCUCUGAUGAAUCCUUGCCUCCAAACGAGGACUGUCUUCUACAGCACAUCCAACGGGCAAAUUACCAGUCAGCAGUAUGGAAAAGGGCAACAACUCAGAUCAUUGAUGCGCCUUCACCUACUGUUUAUGGAUGGAAAAUUGAUGAGGAGGGAAAUAUUGAUGUGGUGUGGAUGACGAAGGAAUGUGCCCCAGAUGUGCUACUCAACAAAGAUUGCAAUUGUAAAUGUAAGGCAGGGUGUUCAACCUUAAGAUGUUCUUGUAAAAAGUCAAACAACAAGUGCAAUGAAAUUUGCCAGUGCGUUGGGUGCACAAAUUGCCCGAACGCACCGAGCGAAAGCUUUGAAGAUGAUUCGGAGGAUGAUUUGGGAAGUGAUUUGACCAAAUUUUUGUCGUGAUUUGAUUUCGUUUCCCAGCCAUGUUUUAGCCGUUCUAAAAUAUUUCCACAUUUUAUCAACUGUACUAACUUGAAUGUGAAGCUAAUUGUCACAAUUGCCGUAUAAAAAGCGUUAUUCUGGGCAAUCAUCCAUAUUUUCUGAUUCGAUUGUUUAUGCGCCUACAUUUCGUGAGUACGUCGUAUUACUUCAAGUAACGAAGUCGAAAGUUCAAAGAUACCGAAAAAUUCAAAAUGGCGCUCAGUUGAUGAAAAUAGCGGACUUUGGCCGGUAUCAUGAAAUGAUGAAAAAGCUGCGUGGUUUGACGUGUGGGAACAAACAUAUUUGAAAUCAGCAUAUUUCAUUUACCUAAUUGCCGAUUAAAUAUGUUAGCACCGCGGUAGGGGCGACGGAAUUCGAUUUCUAGCCUUAUAAAGGAAAUCUGCUCUGAGCUUCGGGUGAAGAAGAUGUGAUUGGUCAUAGGCAGCCCAAUGGCGAAUGGUUUUAUUUG